UACGUAGGGGCAAGCGUUGUCCGGAUUUAUUGGGCGUAAAGAGCGUGUAGGCGGCUAGAUAGGUCCGUUGUGAAAACUCGAGGCUCAACCUCGAGACGUCGAUGGAAACCAUCUGGCUAGAGUCCGGAAGAGGAGAGUGGAAUUCCGUGGUGUAGCGGUGAAAUGACGCAGAUAUCAGGAAGAACACCCGUGGCGAAGGCGGCUCUCUGGUACGUGACUGACGCUGAGACGCGAAAGCGUGGGGAGCAAACAGG
rnacentral:rRNA from 1 species